rnacentral:rRNA from 1 species
GACGAACGCUGGCGGCGUGCCUAAUACAUGCAAGUAGAACGCAGUUGCGAACGGGUGAGUAACGCGUAGGUAACUGCCUGGUAGCGGGGGGUAACUAUUGGAAACGAUAGCUAAUACCGCAUACUACCAGAUGGACCUGAGUUGUAUUAGCUCGUUGGUGGGGGAACGGCUUACCAAGGCGACGAUACAUAGCCGGCUUGAGAGGGGGAGCGGCCACACUGGGACUGAUGCCCGGCCCAGACUCCUACGGGAGGCAUCAGUAGGGAAUCUUUGGCAAUGGACGGAAGUCUGACCGAGCAACUCCGCGUGAGUUAAGAAGGUUUUCGGAUCGUAAAGCUCUGUUGUAAGAGAAGCGGUAUCUUACCAGAAAGGGACGGCUAACUACGUGCCAGCAGCCGCGGUAAUAC